UACGGAGGGUGCAAGCGUUGUCCGGAAUCAUUGGGUGUAAAGGGUGCGUAGGCGGGUUUUUAAGUCUGGGGUGAAAGUCUGCGGCUCAACCGUAGGAUUGCCCUGGAUACUGGAAAUCUUGAGUAUAACAUAGGCCGGUAGAAUUCGUGGUGUAGCGGUGAAAUGCAUAGAUAUCACGAAGAAUACCAGUGGCGUAGGCGGCCGGCUGGGUUAUAACUGACGCUGAGGCACGAGAGCGUGGGGAGCAAACAGG
rnacentral:rRNA from 1 species